UGAUGAGAUAGGUGAAACCCUUCAUCAAGGCUGGGAUGCUGUUAUCAUAACAUAUAAAGAAGCUUUUCAUCACAAAGAUCCAGCUUAGAAUCCAUUUCCUGUGUGAAAGUUUUGCAUCAUUAGAGAUCAACUUGCUUGGAGUUGUUUUCCAGCUUAGGCAGAAUGAUUAGCAUGAUCUUUCUGAGAUGGAACAUGCCCAUAAGAUCGACAGUGUUCUGUGGGAUCUUCCAGAUACAUAACAAGUGCAUAGGAUUCCACAGAAGAUGCUUCUAGUUUCCUUAGGCUCCUUGAAGAGACAGAUAUCUGGAUAUUUAACUUGAAAGAAAGAUGGGCAGA